rfam:Ictidomys tridecemlineatus contig020512, whole genome shotgun sequence.
UGGGGUGUACCUCAGUGGUACAGGGCUUGCCUAGCAGGCAUGAGGCCCUGGGUUUGAGCCCCAGCACCCCCA